rnacentral:rRNA from 1 species
AAAAGCGCGCGUAGGUGGCUUGAUAAGCCGGUUGUGAAAGCCCCGGGCUCAACCUGGGAACGGCAUCCGGAACUGUCAGGCUAGAGUGCAGGAGAGGAAGGUAGAAUUCCCGGUGUAGCGGUGAAAUGCGUAGAGAUCGGGAGGAAUACCAGUGGCGAAGGCGGCCUUCUGGACUGACACUGACACUGAGGUGCGAAAGCGUGGGUAGCAAACAGGAUUAGAUACCCUGGUAGUCCACGCCGUAAACGAUGUCGACCAGCCGUUGGGUGCCUAGCGCACUUUGUGGCGAAGUUAACGCGAUAAGUCGACCGCCUGGGGAGUACGGCCGCAAGGUUAAAACUCAAAUGAAUUGACGGGGGCCCGCACAAGCGGUGGAGCAUGUGGUUUAAUUCGAUGCAACGCGAAGAACCUUACCUACUCUUGACAUCCUGCGAACUUGUGAGAGAUCACUUGGUGCCUUCGGGAGCGCAGAGACAGGUGCUGCAUGGCUGUCGUCAGCUCGUGUUGUGAAAUGUUGGGUUAAGUCCCGUAACGAGCGCAACCCUUGUCCUUAUUUGCCAGCGGGUAAUGCCGGGAACUCUAAGGAGACUGCCGGUGACAAACCGGAGGAAGGUGGGGACGACGUCAAGUCAUCAUGGCCCUUACGAGUAGGGCUACACACGUGCUACAAUGGCCGGUACAAAGGGUUGCGAGCUCGCGAGAGUCAGCUAAUCCCGAAAAGCCGGUCUCAGUCCGGAUCGGAGUCUGCAACUCGACUCCGUGAAGUCGGAAUCGCUAGUAAUCGUGAAUCAGAAUGUCACGGUGAAUACGUUCCCGGGCCUUGUACACACCGCCCGU